AUUGAACGCUGGCGGCAGGCCUAACACAUGCAAGUCGAGCGGAGCGGCGGACGGGUGAGUAAUGACUAGGAAUCUGCCUGGUAGUGGGGGAUAACGUCGGGAAACGGGCGCUAAUACCGCAUACUAGCAGAUCAGCCUCGGUCGGAUUAGCUAGUUGGUGGGGUAAAGGCUAACCAAGGCGACGAUCCGUAACUGGUCUGAGAGGAUGAUCAGUCACACUGGAACUGAGACACGGUCCAGACUCCUACGGGAGGCAGCAGUGGGGAAUAUUGGACAAUGGGCGAAAGCCUGAUCCAGCCAUGCCGCGUGUGUGAAGAAGGUCUUCGGAUUGUAAAGCACUUUAAGUUGGGAGGCGUUACCAACAGAAUAAGCACCGGCUAACUACGUGCCAGCAGCCGCGGUAAUUC
rnacentral:rRNA from 1 species